rnacentral:lncRNA from 1 species
CUUCUUUCUUUAAUAUUGUGAUUGACUGUAAAUAAUUUAUUACAUAAUAUAAUACAAACUAGCAUAACUAGAGACCUAAAUAAAAAGUCUAUUAAGAUUUCUAGUAGGUCUCUAGCCCGCACUCUACACUUAUUGUACAUAUACUACACAUUAAUUUAUUGUACAUGGGGAAAAUUUUUAAAAUAAAUAAAUAAAAUAAAAAUAAAGAGGUAAGUAUAUCUCUUAUCAGUAGCCAGUCAGUCAUAUCUCUUAUCAUGAUCAGCAGCCAAUACAAAUAUAUCACAAAAUUUGCGAACUUCGAAGGGCUAUAUAUUUCCUUAAUUUUACAACAUUUAGCAACCAAUCUUUGCAGCUUUACUCGUUCUAAGACGCUCUUUCUAGCUGUGGUGUUGGAUUUCGUUCUUUUCAGUGACACAAAGUGACAAUAUACCGUAAAUUUCCGAAUAUAAGCCUCCCCGAACAUAAGCCCCCCCCCCCGUGUAUAAGCCCACCACAUGUACUAAUGCUCACCUCAUUCCAAAUAUAAGCCCCCCCCCCCGAAUAUCAGCCCACCUGAAUAUAUAUAAGCCCACUUGUUUAUCACUAUUGUUUAUCACUAUUACCACUAUUAAUCACUAUUAUUACUAUGCUUAAUUAACACUUGUUUAUCACUAUUGCUAAAGGGUCAGAAAACUAACGUUCGAACAGUAAACUAACGUUCACAAAAUUUUUUCCGGAUAAAUUCCUAUUACAACAUGGGUCAAAUCCUUUUUUUCGAUGAAUAAAUGUAAAAUUUGGGUUUAGAAAAUUUUUUCUCAUACCAUUAUUUUUUUCUUUCAAAAAAGUUCGAAAUAUUUUUUUGCCCCCAGUGCCGCCCUCCCCUCUGAAAGGCC